AUGACUAGCGCAGGAGUUGCUGGGAUGAUGUUUCAGUGUGUGUUUGAAGGAAGCCUCUCAAUGCUGGACUCCGAAAUUGAGCGAAGGCCUUACCAUAAGAACUGCAGUUGCGCUCUGCACAGGUCCGAGGGGGGUGUUUGCUCCAAUGCUUGUCAAAGGAACAUUUCUUUUCCCAAGAAACAGUCAUGGAGUGACGGUUUCUUGUGCAUUCAGGCAGCAGCUUCUUCCAAAUUCUCUUCUCCUCUCGUAGACGACAUGUCCACGUCCACAGGAAACAGAGGAAGUGUGAAUGGGGUUCAUAAUUCUGCCUUGUCACACACAUAGACAAUGGACAGAGGUUUUCAGAGGCUAGCUCGAUUAUAUGGUGAUUACCGGUGAGUCAGAAGAAAUUGAAAGGUUAGUUAGGAAGUGAGAAGCAAUUUUAAUUGUGAAGUUUCUCAUUAUCUUAUUCUUGCUCCAGCACUAGUACUCAAACAUCAAAUUGAUUUUGAGGAAAUAUUGGUGCUUUGUGGGGUUAGUUUCUUGAUUUCUUCUACCUUCAUCCAAGUGUAAAUUCUACUGAGCACAUAUUCCUCCUGUAAUUAAACAUUAUUGUCACCCUUCUUCAAUACAACUGAAAAUACCAGUUAAAAUAGCAGCCCAUAAGUGAAAUGUUGUGUUUCACUAACCCUAUAUCUUCACCUUUUUUUGGACGAACCCUAACCUCACUUAUCUCUCCUCUCUCCGCCUCCAUCACCUCUCAUCUCUCUCUACCUCCAUCAUCUCUCAUCUUUCUCUGCCUCCAUCAUCUCCUCUUGCGUGCCCUUGAAAUAAGGUGAGCCCAGCAGCAGCAACAAAGAAAAGAAGAAAAAUUCAAAGAUACCUCUGAUGAGUAGAGAAGAAGCCGUCGCCGCCACUGGAUGGGUCGAGAAGAGUAGAGAAGCAGCCACCCGACCCGCCCAGGCCGCCUAAGCGGGCGCCCAAGCGCCGCCUAACUCCCUGGCACCUACCCCUAACGUUUAGAGUGAACUCGGGGCGGUGUUCUCCCGCCUAGGUCGAUUUUUCAGAGUUUCUUUGUAAAAACGGCAUGAAAGAUGAAGAGAUAAGCAAAACGGCAUGAAAGAUGAAGAAAAAUUAAUAAAAUAAAAACAAAAAAUUAUUUUUAAUUUUACUCAACAAUCAUUUGAUAUUAAUUUGUCCUUACCAGCCCUUAAAUGUCAUAUGAAUCAUCGGAUUUUCGACUGGCAUUGGCCUAGUGCAUGAAAGCACUUGUGAUAAUAAGAGUAGAACGGAAUUGUUUCUGUUCUUAAUAUGGAGGAGACAUAAAGCCAUGGCAGAACUAAGCUGGUGGGUGUUGAGUUUUCUGCAUAUUUUUAACAUGAAGCCAACUCACAACAACUAAAAAUUGCAAGAGUAAAUCAGAACAAUACAAUUAGAUCUCUCUCAACAAGUCAACAAUUAUCAUAGCAUCCACUGUCCACAGAGAGAGAGAGAGAGAGAGAGAGAGUGGUAACACUCUCGUAUUACAUCUGAUCUGAUGUACUAUGUAUGAGCCCUAAUCAUACCAAGAGUAUGUUAUAUUGAAUCUAGAAAGAAUGGCUUCAAAGGAAAAACACAACAGUUGGCUAGACUUACAGUAAAAAGGGAGUGAAGUGAAGACAAGUGAAAGAGAAUGGGGCAUCAAGCUAACAACACCCUUCUUGACAUGGAGUCUCACAUCUUGCAUUGCAUGAGAAUGAAAAUUAUAGACAGAGAGCACACAGAUGCAAUGCAGCCACACCAUGCACCUUGCAAAUCAAUAAUGAAGUGAAAAGGGAGAUUGGGAGUUUUGAACCCUAAAGCAACUGACAAUAUCACCAACCUAAGUCUCUGGAAAAUACAAGAUACAUAUAUAUGACAUUCCUGCUUUAUAUGCGAACUACAUGUAUAAUUUUAAAGUAUAAAAUUCCAACUUUUGGUUCAAUUUUAAAAUAGGUUUUAACUACUUACAUUACUUCAGAUACAUAUCUAAGUACAUACAUGAGAAGUUCACUUUCAGAUCUAAGUACAUACCAAACAAGACAGUUGCAUUGUGUUACCAACGUAUCACAAAAAAUAAAGCCAACCAUUUUAAAAUUCACCGUACAAACCAACAUUGGAGUCUCGACGCACAGAAUGCAUUGCAAAUAUCAUAUCAGCACAUUGUUUCUCAAAAUAAACAGAAGCAACUUUACGUACAAGGUCAUCAAGAUAACAAAGCCUGCAUAUAGAAAUGACCAUGAAACUGAUGAAAGCAGUAAAACAAGUAUUCACACUGGGAUUAGAUUUCUUUUACCAACAAAUAGAAACGCCCUGCAUGUAUAUAUUUUGAAAGUGUUUACCGCCUUUAUGGUAGUGAAGUGGUUAUUAGUUAUUACCAAUGAGUUUUCUGGUAUGGCCUUGGUACUAA
rnacentral:lncRNA from 1 species